rnacentral:rRNA from 1 species
AUUGAACGCUGGCGGCAGGCCUAACACAUGCGAGUCGAGCGGAUGAAGGGAGCUUGCUCCUGGAUUCAGCGGCGGACGGGUGAGUAAUGCCUAGGAAUCUGCCUGGUAGUGGGGGAUAACGUCCGGAAACGGGCGCUAAUACCGCAUACGUCCUGAGGGAGAAAGUGGGGGAUCUUCGGACCUCACGCUAUCAGAUGAGCCCAGGUCGGAUUAGCUAGUUGGUGGGGUAAAGGCCUACCAAGGCGACGAUCCGUAACUGGUCUGAGAGGAUGAUCAGUCACACUGGAACUGAGACACGGUCCAGACUCCUACGGGAGGCAGCAGUGGGGAAUAUUGGACAAUGGGCGAAAGCCUGAUCCAGCCAUGCCGCGUGUGUGAAGAAGGUCUUCGGAUUGUAAAGCACUUUAAGUUGGGAGAAAGGGCAGUAAGUUAAUACCUUGCUGUUUUGACGUUACCAACAGAAUAAGCACCGGCUAACUUCGUG